UACGAAGGGGGCUAGCGUUGUUCGGAUUUACUGGGCGUAAAGCGCACGUAGGCGGAUCGAUCAGUCAGGGGUGAAAUCCCAGAGCUCAACUCUGGAACUGCCUUUGAUACUGUCGAUCUGGAGUAUGGAAGAGGUGAGUGGAAUUCCGAGUGUAGAGGUGAAAUUCGUAGAUAUUCGGAGGAACACCAGUGGCGAAGGCGGCUCACUGGUCCAUUACUGACGCUGAGGUGCGAAAGCAUGGGUAGCGAACAGG
rnacentral:rRNA from 1 species